CUACAACAGAGGGCAAGGUUCCUCCACUCCUUCUCUACCCGUGAGCAGCCGAAAGGGGAAUAUUGUGAAUAUUUUUAGGACCCCCUGGAAGUUUGGGAAAUGUUGCUGUAUCAAUGUGCAGCUGGAGAAGCCAAAGCCUCUGAAGCAGAGCAGGCGCACUCAGAACUGGACAAGCUGGAGCAAGGUCUGUAAGCCUCUCUUCCCUGGCCUGACCACCAGAUGGAGAUGUGCCCCCCAGAGCUGUGAGAAAUGCAGGGGUCCAUGAAAAUACAUUUCACACUGGUUUCUCAAGGACCUGCCAGUGCAGACAUUCUUCCCAAAGGUCUCACAACAAGUCAGAUCUAGACAGUGGUAUGGGAAAGGAG
rnacentral:lncRNA from 1 species